AUUGAACGCUGGCGGCAGGCCUAACACAUGCAAGUCGAGCGGAGCGGCGGACGGGUGAGUAAUGCCUAGGAAUCUGCCUGGUAGUGGGGGAUAACGUCCGGAAACGGGCGCUAAUACCUCAUCCUAUCAGAUGAGCCUAGGUCGGUUGAGCUAGUAGGUGGGGUAAAGGCUCACCUAGGCGACGAUCCCUAGCUGGUCUGAGAGGAUGACCAGCCACACUGGACCUGAGCCACGGUCCAGACUCCUACGGGAGGCAGCAGUGGGGAAUAUUGCACAAUGGGUGCAAGCCUGAUGCAGCCAUGCCGAGUGUAUGAAGAAGGCCUUCGGGUUGUAAAGUACUUUCAGCGGGGAGGCGUUACCCGCAGAAGAAGCACCGGCUAACUCCGUGCCAGCAGCCGCGGUAAUUG
rnacentral:rRNA from 1 species